AGGGCAUAGUGAAGGUGUUGUAGUGUAGAGGGCAUAGUGAAGGUGUUGUAGUGUAGAGGGCAUAGUGAAGGUGUUGUAGUGUAGAGGGCAUCGUGAAGGUGUUGUAGUGUAGAGGGCAUAGUGAAGGUCUUGUAGUGUAGAGGGCAUAGUGAAGGUGUUGUAGUGUAGAGGGCAUAGUGAAGGUGUUGUAGUGUAGAGGGCAUAGUGAAGGUGUUGUAGUGUAGAGGGCAUAGUGAAGGUGUUGUAGUGUAGAGGGCAUAGUGAGGGCAUAGUGAAGGUGUUGUAGUGUAGAGGGCAUAGUGAAGGUGUUGUAGUGUAGAGGGCAUAGUGAAGGUGUUGUAGUCUAGAGGGCAUAGUGAAGGUGUUGUAGUGUAGAGGGCAUAGUGAAGGUGUUGUAGUGUAGAGGGCAUAGUGAAGGUGUUGUAGUGUAGAGGGCAUAGUGAAGGUGUUGUAGUGUAGAGGGCAUAGUGAAGGUGUUGUAGUCUAGAGGGCAUAGUGAAGGUGUUGUAGUGUAGAGGGCAUAGUGAAGGUGUUGUAGUCUAGAGGGCAUAGUGAAGGUGUUGUAGUGUAGAGGGCAUAGUGAAGGUGUUGUAGUCUAGAGGGCAUAGUGAAGGUGUUGUAGUGUAGAGGGCAUAGUGAAGGUGUUGUAGUGUAGAGGGCAUAGUGAAGGUGUUGUAGUCUAGAGGGCAUAGUGAA